rnacentral:rRNA from 1 species
AUACGUAGGCAGCAAGCGUUGUUCGGAGUUACUGGGCGUAAAGAGUGCGUAGGUGGUUCUCUAAGUUCGGUGUGAAAUCUCCCGGCUCAACUGGGAGGGUGCGCCGAAAACUGGAGGGCUUGAGUAUGGGAGAGGAGAGCGGAAUUCCUGGUGUAGCGGUGAAAUGCGUAGAUAUCAGGAGGAACACCUGUGGUGCAGACGGCUCUCUGGACCAUUACUGACACUGAGGCACGAAAGCGUGGGGAGC